rnacentral:lncRNA from 1 species
UGCAAAUCGUUAGCCUGCAUACCCAACUCAAUAGGCAAUUCAACAUUUCUAUCUUGCCUUGACCUAACAGGAUGUCAUAAACUUGCUCAACUUCCAGACUCUAUAGGCUCCCUCGUGUCUCUACAGCGGUUGUUAUUGUCGGGAUGCUACUCGUUGAGACAAAUCCCAGACUCGAUUGGAAAGUUGACAUCAUUGACAGAGGUGCAUUUGAAAUCUACGGCCAUUGAAGAAUUACCUGAAUUAAUUGGUUCUUUGAAGGAGCUCAAGACUCUAGAUGCCUCUCAUUGCAAAUCGUUAGCCUGCAUACCCAAUUCAAUAGGCAAUUCAACAUCUCUGUCUUGUCUUGACCUAACAGAAUGCCAUAAACUUGCUCAACUUCCAGACACUAUAGGCUCCCUCGUGUCUCUACAGCGGUUGUUAUUGUCGGGAUGCCACUCGUUGAGACAAAUCCCAGACUCGAUUGGAAAGUUGACAUCAUUGACAGAGGUGCAUUUGAAAUCUACGGCCAUUGAAGAAUUACCUGAAUUAAUUGGUUCUUUGAAGGAGCUCAAGACUCUAGAUGCCUCUCAUUGCAAAUCGUUAGCCUGCAUACCCAAUUCAAUAGGCAAUUCAACAUCUUUGU